rnacentral:rRNA from 1 species
GACGAACGCUGGCGGCGUGCCUAAUACAUGCAAGUUGAGCGAUGAAGAUUGGUGCUUGCACCAAUUUGAAGAGCAGCGAACGGGUGAGUAACGCGUGGGGAAUCUGCCUUUGAGCGGGGGACAACAUUUGGAAACGAAUGCUAAUACCGCAUAACAACUUUAAACAUAAGUUUUAAGUUUGAAAGAUGCAAUUGCAUCACUCAAAGAUGAUCCCGCGUUGUAUUAGCUAGUUGGUGAGGUAAAGGCUCACCAAGGCGAUGAUACAUAGCCGACCUGAGAGGGUGAUCGGCCAAAUUGGGACUGGGACACGGCCCAAACUCCUACGGGAGGCAGCAGUAGGGAAUCUUCGGCAAUGGACGAAAGUCUGACCGAGCAACGCCGCGUGAGUGAAGAAGGUUUUCGGAUCGUAAAACUCUGUUGGUAGAGAAGAACGUUGGUGAGAGUGGAAAGCUCAUCAAGUGACGGUAACUACCCAGAAAGGGACGGCUAACUACGUG